CAGUACUUUAUAUUAUUAGAUAUUUUUUUCGAUAAAUAGCUCUAUUAGUAUUGUACGAGUAAGUAUCAGCACUGAAAUAUUUGCUGGGUGUUAUCAGCACUGAACUACUUUUUCGGUGUUCGCUGCACUGAAAAGUGUUCUGGGUGUUUUUUGGACCGGAUUAUAAAGUGCAUAAUUUUGAGAAUUAUGAAAAAAGCUGUAAAUAUCUAAAUUCUAAUAUUACAAAGAUGUUUCUUUGAUCCUUGAUGUCUGUAAUGGUUUAACAUGUAACAAAAAUGGUUGUAACGAAUACAAGUAUUUAUGUUCCACUUCGGAUUAACUCAAUCGACAGCCAGGCUCCAAAGGUUUACCACGAAAAAUGAGAAAAAACAAAAGUGGUUAUCACGAAUACAAGUAUUUAUGUUCCACUCCGAAUCAACUCAACCGAUAGUCAGUAAUUCGACAACUUCAAGGUUCUCCAAGAUUCUCGAAGUUUAAUCGUCUUAAAUUUGGUGCAAAUUUUUAAAUUUGUUGUUAAAGCUAUAAUUUCGUUAUUCAGAAUUAGUAUUUAGUAGUCCUUAUCCUCUAAGAUAUAAUUAGUCUAUUGUGUUUGUAUAUCUUGUGGUAACUGAUAUCUACUGAGAAGAAACCCGAAUUUAUUCGAACAAAUUUUUACCCGCACAUUAUAACUUUAUAUUUAAUUAUGAUUAUGUUUUUUUGAUAUUCGCUAUUCCGCUUGUAAGAUUCGAAAAAAGUUAAAUUAUCUGCAAAAAAUCUAAGCACAGUUGUUUUCUGUCCUAAGAUCUUACCUGGUCGGCAGAGACAGCCAAUCUUUUAUGUUUUAUUGAAAGGGCGCUUGAGUCUUAACACUUUUACAAAAAGCGUCAUAAUUUCACAGAUAAGGUUUAUGAAGGUUGCAUAAUCUUAGACGGUAAGGUUUACUAAUUACUACACUAUUUUUGUUUUGAAAGAAGGCGUUGUGUAAAACAUUCUGUAUUUAUGUUUAAAUUUGAAAGGAAAUGUGCAAUAUAAGUUUGUUACUUGA